GCAGCUGGGAACUCCCACCCUCUAUCCCCAACUGCACAUGUCCACUCCUACAUUUCAUGUCUGAAAGAUCUCAAGUAUACUGGCUCUCAGUUGUUGCUGCCUACAUGAUCAACCUCCAAUAAGCACAACGGACUCUGGCUUAAGCUCAACCAUGUUUCCUAGCAGACAAUUUCACAGAUCAUCACAACUUCUGUUUGGCUUCUUCUGGACCAUGCUGAUAUUGCUUUAUAUUCUUUUACAUAAUAAACCAUAACCCUAAUGG
rnacentral:lncRNA from 1 species